rnacentral:rRNA from 1 species
GAGGGCAAGUCUGGUGCCAGCAGCCGCGGUAAUUCCAGCUCCAAUAGCGUAUAUUAAAAUUGUUGCAGUUAAAAAGCUCGUAGUUGAAUUUCAGCUGCUCCGCACUUUCUUCCCGUUAUGGAGGUUGUGCGCCGUGGCUUAUUUCGGACUGUGUUAUGCACUGUCCGGAUGUUUACUUUGAGAAAAUUAGAGUGCUCAAAGCAGGCUUUUGGCUUGAAUAGUUUAGCAUGGAAUAAUAAAGUAGGACUUUGGUUCUAUUUUGUUGGUUUUAGGUACCAAAGUAAUGGUUAAUAGGAACAGUUGGGGGCAUUCGUAUUUAACUGUCAGAGGUGAAAUUCUUAGAUUUGUUAAAGACGAACUACUGCGAAAGCAUUUGCCAAGGAUGUUUUCAUUAAUCAAGAACGAAAGUUAGGGGAUCGAAGACGAUCAGAUACCGUCGUAGUCCUAACCAUAAACUAUGCCGACUAGAGAUUGGAGGUCGUCAGUUUUUACGACUCCUUCAGCACCUUGAGAG